rnacentral:rRNA from 1 species
GAUGAACGCUGGCGGCGUGCCUAAUACAUGCAAGUCGAGCGAACAGACGAGGAGCUUGCUCCUCUGACGUUAGCGGCGGACGGGUGAGUAACACGUGGAUAGCCUACCUAUAAGACUGGGAUAACUUCGGGAAACCGGAGCUAAUACCGGAUAACAUGUUGAACCGCAUGGUUCAACAGUGAAAGACGGUCUUGCUGUCACUUAUAGAUGGAUCCGCGCCGCAUUAGCUAGUUGGUAAGGUAACGGCUUACCAAGGCAACGAUGCGUAGCCGACCUGAGAGGGUGAUCGGCCACACUGGAACUGAGACACGGUCCAGACUCCUACGGGAGGCAGCAGUAGGGAAUCUUCCGCAAUGGGCGAAAUCCUGACGGAGCAACGCCGCGUGAGUGAAGAAGGUCUUCGGAUCGUAAAACUCUGUUAUUAGGGAAGAACAAAUGUGUAAGUAACUAUGCACGUCUUGACGGUACCUAAUCAGAAAGCCACGGCUAACUACGUG